UCCUUCCUCUCUGCUCCCAGCUGUUAAGAGGUCAGAGUUGAUCAGUGUCUGUCCAGGUCUUUCAGAGCCACUGACACACCAGCAGAACAAUGAAGAUGUUACUGACUCUACUGCUGACCAUCCUGGAGCUCCUGGUUCAGGGUUCAUCAGGAGACAUCAUCCUGACUCAGACUCCUGGAUCUCAGUCUGUUGUUCCAGGUCAGACUGUCUCCAUCAGAUGUGAAACCAAUUCUAAUGUUAAUAUCUACCUCCACUGGUACCUUCAGAAACCUGCAGAAGCUCCUAAACUCCUGAUUUAUUCAGCUUCAAACCGUCAGUCUGGAAUUCCAGCUCGUUUCAGUGGAAGUGGAUAUGGUGCUGACUUCACUCUGACCAUCAGUGGAGUUCAGGCUGAAGAUUCAGGAGUUCAUUACUGUCAGCAGGGUUACAGCUCGUUCACACAGUGAUAGAACGUCGUACAAAAACCUCCUCAGCUGGAGAGGAACUGAUCUGACUCAACAGCUGUUCUUAAACUAAACACUAAACUUUUCCCCAAAUGUUCAACUCUUCAUUAGUUAUUGACAACUGGUUUUAAUGUACUUUUUGUUUUUGUUUCUUUUUACCCACAAUUCUUGUUAAUUUGUUUUAGCUGUUCUUAUUAACUCAGUUAGAGAUUUAUGUGUUAGGAGAGACCAAGACCAAGAACACAAAGACGUAAAACAAUAAUUAUGUGAUCGUUUGAAUUUGUUCCAGUGAACAAGUGUUUUUAAGAGUGUCAUUAAGAGCUGGUUUUAAUGUACUUUUUGUUUUUGUUUCUUUUUACCCACAAUUCUUGUUAAUUGGUUUUAGCUGUUCUUAUUAACUCAGUUAGAGAUUUAUUUGUUAGGAGAGACCAAGACCAAGAACACAAAGACGUAAAACAAUAAUUAUGUGAUCGUUUGAAUUUGUUCCAGUGAACAAGUGUUUUUAAGAGUGUCAUUAAGAGCUGGUUUUAAUGUACUUUUUGUUUUUAUACCCGUAGUUUUUGUUUGCUUGUUUUAAAUGUUCUAAUUAAAUCAGAGAUUUAUUUA